rnacentral:rRNA from 1 species
GCUAGCGUUGUUCGGAAUCAUUGGGAGUAAAGCGUGUGUAGGCGGUUUGUUAAGUCGGAUGUGAAAUCCCUGGGCUCAACCGAGGAAGUGCAUUCGAAACUAACUGGCUAGAAGAUGGUAGAGGAAGGUGGAAUUCCACGUGUAGCGGUGAAAUGCGUAGAGAUGUGGAGGAACACCAGUGGCGAAGGCGACUCUGUGGCCUGUAACUGACGCUGAGGCGCGAAAGCGUGGGGAGCAAACAGG